UGCAAUUUUACGCAUUUUUCCAAAACACAUGCAUUCUUAUCUUAUGGUAAAUAAAAAAAUCUCAUGAUGCGGAAGACCAAAAGUAGGAUUUUUCAAAAUCAGCAAAAUCAGUAUUAGAGCCACGGGUUCCUUCAAGAGACAAAAAAUUUUAACUCUCAACGUAAUUGUAUGAAUUUUCAGAUCGAUUUGGAGCGAAAAUUGACUAUUUUUGGGAUGAAUUCGGAAAAAUGUGGAAAAACCCUAAACUGGUGGGUUUUUUGCGCAUUGCAAAAUUUGCGUACCCUUGGGCCUAAUGAUACAUGUUUAAAAAAACCUAAUUUUGAGUUUAUUAUUUUUAUUUUUCAAAGCAGCACACUAGAAAAUAAUAUCCUCUUUGACAUAAAAAUUAUGAAUGAAAAAAGCUCAACAAACAUUUAUUCUGUUUCAGUUAAUUUUCCUGGCCAAACAUGUCUUCCCCAUUCAUGACGUUCACGCCGACGAUUGACGACUUAAGGAAUUUUUCUGACUACGUUAAAUUCAUGGAGGCGAAAGGCGCGCAUAUAAAUGGAGUAGCAAAAAUAAUUCCCCCGCCAGAGUGGAUUCCCCGCAGAAACUCGUACAACAUGAAGGAAAUAGGAGGAAUGAGACAUUUGGCUGUUUAUGACCAGAGUCUAGAGGCCACCGAGGGCAGGCGUGGGAUUUACGCCCUUCUCCAUGAAAACAAGAGGCGGCCGCAAAACCACCGUCAUACUCUUAAGGAGUACAAAAAGCUCGCUGAACAAAAGAGGUACAAAAUUACUUCGAUGUUAAUUUAAUUAAAGGAUAUGGAAUCAUCGCACUUUUAGGUUUAUUGUGUUACGGGUAACAAUAGUUUUAAUCUAAUUUUGAACUAUGCAUGAUGGCAGAAUAAAAAUUGAAACUUUUCACAGGCUCAGAAAAAAAUUUUCCAAUCGUGACGAAGCCGAAAAUUAUUUUUGGAAAAACACAAACAAUCGAAAAAGGAUCUACUGUCCUGACGUCAACGGGUCUCUAAUGGACCAGGAUUUAGAGGAAUGCAAUUUCCAAAAGCUAGGGACCAUGCUGGAUCUUGCGCGAGAAUCCGGAUCAACAAUCGUAGGUGUGAACACACCUAAUCUAUAUUUCGGCUCGUGGGGAACGACGACUCCGUGGCAUUGUGACGACAUGGACCUGUACAGCAUUUAUUAUUUGCACGACGGCCAUGCGAAAACGUGGUACACUAUUCCCCCCUCGCACCACCAACAAUUUGAAAGGAUCGCUGCCGCUUUGCUGCCCGAAGAAGCAGAGCACUGUCGCGCAUUUUUGAGGCACAAAUUGUAUAUUUUCGACCCCGCCAUAUUAAAAAAACACAAU